rnacentral:lncRNA from 1 species
GGGCAUGCUUCCGGAGUCCUUACUCAGAAACAUGGGUCCAGACAACGGCCUAUUGGCUAUUUCUCCUGCAUGCCUGACCCUGUUGCAAGGGGCAGCCCCUCUUGCCUCCGUGCUGUGUUUGCCGCCAGUGCCCUCUUGGACAAGACUAAUGACUUUGUUCUUGGCCAUCACCUCACAGUGUUGGCCCCUCAUGACAUUACUGCAAUCCUGCAACAAACUCAACCUAAGCACCUUUCUUCUCAACGUUACCUUCGUCUACAAACAUCCUUACUGUUACCUGACAAUGUGAAACUUCAGCGAUGUCUCUCCCUGAACCCGGCCACUCUUCUGCCACUUCCCAAGGGGGGAAUUGUGCAUUACUGGUAUAGCCUGGACAUCAACCCAGAGGUUUGAGCAGAUUUGCAGCUGCACCCCCACAUAAUGAACAAUCAGAGGCCCUACUUCACUGCACCUUAUGGUUUAAAGACAGACCAGGCCCUGAUAUGAACUAUGAGGAAGAAUUAUUCCAGCUCAAGGAAAUUCCAAUUACCCUGACUGACUUGUUAUGGGACCCCACAGGUACCAUGCUCAUCUUAGUCCAUCUUCCAGAGAACAUGACACAUCUCUACCAUCAUUGGGAAACAGCUAUCCCACACAUAUCUCUCACCAGAUCCUCUGACACCUCAUGGAAAGACCUGGAGUCAAAUGAACCAAGAACAACUGACUUCUAUGGGGACCAGCAAAAAGACUAUUAACUACUGUACAGCAGGGUACCCUAGGUACCACACAGACGUCUGUGAGGACCCACUCAUCAUAGACUGUGACCCUGAUAUUUCCCCACUUAGCUGAUCAGGCCGCUAAGGAAGCAGCACAACAAGGAUGGGAAGUGGACAGAAGAGUGGCCACAGACGCAGUGCCCAUCUACACCAUGCAGACACUGCCUACGGAUCUUAGGCUUCUAAAGGAACAACCAGCUACUGCUACUCCCCAGGAGAAACAAAGUUGGAAGAACAAAGGAGCUGUACUCCGUGAUGAUGUUUACACUAUCAAUCUCAAGUUUUGCCUACCCAGAAAUAUGUAUCCAGCGGUGGUCCAAUGGGCCCAUGGGCCAGCCCACCUGUCAAAACAUCUGAUGAACUCAUUGAUUGACAAGUAUUUUGAAGCACCAGGCAUCACUACCUUAACACAGAAUUACUGUAAAUCUUGUACUAUAUGUGCUAAAUGCAAUCCUGGAAAGAUUUUAAAGACUGCACCUAAUCAUCUAGCUAAACCACAAUACCCCUUCCAGAGGAUCCAGAUUGAUCACAUUCAGAUGCCAAAGAGUGGACGUUAUGAAUAUGCAUUGGUCAUAGUGGACAUGUUUUCAGGAUGGCCAGAGGCCUUCCCAGUGACUAAUCUCACCGCGAGGACUACAGCCAAGUAUCUCUUGACAGAAAUUGUUUGCCGCUAUGGAGUUCCAGAAGUAAUUGAAAGUGACCAAGGGACCUCCUUCACUGCCUCGCUAACACGGGAAGUCUGGCCAGCACUGGGGGUGAUCCUUGCAUUCCACACACCAUAUCACCCACAGGGUAGUGGUAAGGUAGAGCGCAUGAAUGGCACUUUGAAAGCCAGAAUGCUUCAAAUGUCACAAGAAACUAACAUGCCCUGGCCCGAGAGUCUCCCAUUAGCGUUGUUUAGUGUAAGGUACAAUCCUAGGGGAAAAUAUAGCCUAUCACCUUAUGAGAUUUUGUUUGGUACAGCACCCAGGUUAGGUUGUUACUUUCCCCAACAGCUUCAGAUUCAGUCAGAUGCUAUGGUAGACUAUGUGACUGCCCUCUCACAUGCCUUGACCAAAAUACAUGCCCAAGUGUUUUCUUCUAUUCCAGAUCCUGAGUCAAAUACAGGUACACACAAGCUGCUUCCUGGUGAUUGGGUUAUGGUCAAGAAGGUUCUCAGGAAACACACCCUAGAACCAAGAUUUGAUGGCCCAUAUCAAGUGCUCCUGAUUACAGCAACGUCAGUUAAACUAGCCGGGAAGAGUUCUUGGAUACACGCCUCACAUUACAAAAAAGUGCC